ACAUAUAUGUGGAUUUAUGUUACAUUUAUAUUAAUCAUGAAACGUUUAUGUGUGGAUCAGAAAAAAUAUAGGUGAAACUUUUUUUACAUUUACAUAUAUUGAAAACUUUUUGUGUGUGCAUUGAAAUAUAUUUGUGUGUAGAGAGUCAUUUAUAUAUAAAUCACAAAACACACUGGUGAGUCUUUCGCUGUGCAUUUAUUAUUUAUGAGACUGAUCUGAAUCCAUACAAACUCUUCAACCUGAAGGUUGACGAUUUUAGGCCCUGUAUAUUCCACAUGCAUAUUGAAAGGGAUUUCAUUGUAUAAGACAGGUGACCGCUGGGGGUCUUUCCUCUGUUGCGUCUUCACUGAGUGGUGGGGGCUCAGUAGUUGGAAGGCUGGGGGGCAUUUCUACAGUCUGUGUUCUGUGCUGUAGUUGUAGUUCCACCUGACGGCUGAUAAUUCCCUCGUCAUGUCGUCUCUCAUCUGCGCUAUUUCUCUUCUCACGAUGUCUUUUGUUUCUCUCAGCUCUGUGUUGAGGGCCUGUUUAUCCUUCUGCAGGUUGGAGAUCUGUUCCCUGAGUUCUUGUGUAGUAGUGUCCAUCUGGUGCUUAUUUUGGUUGAGUUGUUCCUGGAGGUCAGGGUGUGUUGUGGUGCUGGUGGGGAGUAGCUGUUCUCUCAGCUCGGUCAGCUCCACCUCUAGCAGAGCCAGUCUGUCUCUCAGGAGGCUGAUGGUGUGCUGCUCUGGAUGCUGCUUGUUCGGCUCAGAUAAGGCAGGUCACCCUUCUAAUUGAUUCAGGCAGAUGGAGGGCCCUGACAGGUGACUUGUGUAUUACCUCCGGUGCAACAAAGGGUACGAUGUACUGCCCGUCCACCUGAAAAGGGCGUGCAUGAAGGACAACACGCCACAAGAAUGGGAUGCCGAAGUAAACCGGGCCAGACGGUCUCAAAGAGAGGGGACCAGGGUCGGUAGAUGCUGGGAGUAACAGGAACUGUGCUUCGUGGUUCCAGGUGAAGCGUCUCGCCAGUCCCUGGUACGCUGCCACCAAAGCAAAGGAUUCUGUGUUGUCUAUGAACAGAGCAUCGCAGCCAUCUGAUCCGAGUGGAGGGCAGCCUGAGAGCUAAGUAGGCUUUGUUGAAGAUGAGCAAACAAAGAGCCAGAGUGUGACUGUCCCUUAUGAGCCACACAGUUGGGAUCAGAGAUAACAACCAUCCUGUGCUGUGCUUCAUGUGCAACAUUUCCUGCAUGGGAGACAUGAAUAGCAGACCCAUGCUCACCAUUUGGAGCGUCCAGACUCCAGAGUGAGUUGUUAUGGGCUGACAUGUGCAAAUGUGCAUGUCACAGACUGAGGAGGAAAAAGAGUGCCAAGACGCAUAAUGGCACCAAAGGAAUAUUGCAAAAUAAGAAUAGUAAUUUAAAAAAUUGUACAUAAACCAAAGAGCGUCCCUGUUCCUCACACACCUUCUGUGAAGAAGACCAAGUCAGUCUCCAGUGCAGAGGAAGAGGACAAGGAUUUGUUUGUUCUGCAUGUUCGUGGUCAUGAACCACAGCUGGACUAGGUGAGAUGGAUGAGGGGAAGGGGAGGCAGGAGAAGGAUAGACCCGCGGCAGCCACUGGCCACAGUGUGGGUCUCCCUUUGAAAGACUGCCAUUGAAGACAACCAAGAUCAAGUCAGUGGUGGAGGAAAGGUGAUCACAUCGAAGGAUUUUUGAGAGCCCAAGGGUAAAGGUGUCAUUGCCACCAUGCCCUUCUCCAAAGGGGACGUAAUCUGUGACUACCAUGGAAAGCUGAUCUCAGAAUCAGAGGGGAAGGAGAAGAUGGAAGACAUGCAGGAGGGAACGAUGUGCUACCUCUUCUUCAUUAAGGGCAGGCUCGGCACCAAGAUGUGCGCUGAUUCCUCAGACCUUCCCCCGCGAGGGUCACCCUGGCACGGACACUUUCAGUAGAAGGAUGAACCACUCUUUCAAGGCUUUCAAUGUGAAGCCUGUGGUCUUCCAAUUGAACUUUCCAGAUGGACCCAAAGACACUGUCCUCUUAUUGGCCACGAGAGAAAUAUCCAUCAAUGAUGAGCUGUGUUUGGACUAUGGUGUGAGACGGGCGUCCUUCAGAGGCGAAGGCAUGGACCUGGACUGGUUGGAUGAAUGAAAAGACGUGUGGUGUAAUCUUUGAAGACUGUUGUUGUUAAGUUCCUGUUAUGUUUGUUUGUUUGUUGUUGCUGUCAGUGGUAUGAUGAUAGUCCUCAGUGUUAUGAUUAGCAGUUUGCAUAUGUUGAUUCAUUGUUGACACUUGUUGUUGUUUGCUUUGUCUUGUUCACAUUUGUUGUUGUUGUUUUGUAUGUUCACACGUGUUGUUGUUGUUGUUGCUGUUUAGAAUCAUGGUUU